UACAGAGGUCUCAAGCGUUAUUCGGAUUCAUUGGGCGUAAAGGGUGCGUAGGUGGCGUCGUAAGUCGGGUGUGAAAUUUCGGAGCUUAACUCCGAAACUGCAUUCGAUACUGCGGUGCUUGAGGACUGGAGAGGAGACUGGAAUUUACGGUGUAGCAGUGAAAUGCGUAGAGAUCGUAAGGAAGACCAGUGGCGAAGGCGGGUCUCUGGACAGUUCCUGACACUGAGGCACGAAGGCCAGGGGAGCAAACGGG
rnacentral:rRNA from 1 species